UACGAAGGGGGCUAGCGUUGCUCGGAAUCACUGGGCGUAAAGCGCACGUAGGCGGCUUUUUAAGUCAGGGGUGAAAUCCUGGAGCUCAACUCCAGAACUGCCUUUGAUACUGAGAAGCUUGAGUCCGGGAGAGGUGAGUGGAACUGCGAGUGUAGAGGUGAAAUUCGUAGAUAUUCGCAAGAACACCAGUGGCGAAGGCGGCUCACUGGCCCGGUACUGACGCUGAGGAGCGAAAGCGUGGGGAGCAAACAGGG
rnacentral:rRNA from 1 species